rnacentral:rRNA from 1 species
UACGGGGGGGGCAAGCGUUGUUCGGAAUUACUGGGCGUAAAGGGUCUGUAGGUGGCCAACUAAGUCAGACGUGAAAUCCCUCAGCUUAACUGGGGAACUGCGUCCGAUACUGGGAGGCUUGAAUCCGGGAGAGGGAUGUGGAAUUCCAGGUGUAGCGGUGAAAUGCGUAGAGUAUCGUGAAGGAACACCGGUGGCGAAGGCGGUCAUCGCGA